rnacentral:tRNA from 1 species
CCUGGUGGCUCAGAUGGUAAAGAGUCUGCCUACAAUGCAGGAGACCAGGGUUCAAUCCCUGCGUUGGGA